rnacentral:rRNA from 1 species
GAUGAACGCUGGCGGCGUGCCUAAUACAUGCAAGUCGAACGAGGCGCUUUUUGUAGCAAUACGAGGAGCGUCCUAGUGGCGAACGGGUGAGUAACGCGUGGGUGACCUGCCCCAAAGUGUGGGAUAACAGUCCGAAAGGAUUGCUAAUACCGCAUGUGGUCGCUGAGUUUAGAAGUUAGCGACUAAAGCAGCAAUGCGCUUUGGGAGGGACCUGCGUCCCAUCAGCUAGUUGGUAAGGUAACGGCUUACCAAGGCGACGACGGGUAGGGGACCUGAGAGGGUGGCCCCCCACAAUGGAACUGAAACACGGUCCAUACACCUACGGGUGGCAGCAGUAGGGAAUAUUGCACAAUGGGCGAAAGCCUGAUGCAGCAACGCCGCGUGCGCGAAGAAGGUCUUCGGAUCGUAAAGCGCUUUUCUGGGAGAUGAGAAAGGACAGUAUCCCAGGAAUAAGUCUCGGCUAACUACGUGCCAGCAGCCGCGGUAACACGUAGGAGGCGAGCGUUAUCCGGAUUCACUGGGCGUAAAGCGCGUGCAGGCGGUUCGGUAAGUUGGGCGUGAAAUCUCCCGGCUCAACUGGGAGAGGUCGUUCAAUACUACCGGACUUGAGAGCGAUAGAGGAAAAUGGAAUUCCCGGUGUAGUGGUGAAAUGCGUAGAUAUCGGGAGGAACACCAGUGGCGAAAGCGAUUUUCUGGAUCGUUUCUGACGCUCAGACGCGAAAGCUAGGGUAGCAAACGGGAUUAGAGACCCCGGUAGUCCUAGCCGUAAACGAUGUGAACUUGGCGUCGGUGGCUUAAACUCCAUCGGUGCCGAAGCCAACGCGAUAAGUUCACCGCCUGGGGACUACGACCGCAAGGUUA